CCAAUUUGAAUCGCAUUUCCAGCAGUCGUCGAUGGGGUUUCCGGUGUAGCAGGAAGAAGAUUCGUCGUUCUCUGAGUUUUGGAUCAGUCGCCUUCUUGUUAUGGAAUCAUUCACUUUCCUACGACAGUUCAGGGCUCGGAUGCUGGCCGGGGAGACUGAGGUUGAGAGCGGUGCAUGGCGGCGAGAGGGAGUGUAGCAGCAAAGCUAGCAGCACAGUACAGAUUGCAGCCACCAUUUUGGAGAACAAAAAAUGCCUCAUGAAUGAGAAUUUGAUCUCAUUCUUUGAGCCACCAAAAAAGCAAGCUAUUACAACGAGUAGCUGAAAAAGGGAAGUCAUGCUCUCGGUGGGAUUGAAGAGCUUGUACAAGUUAUUAAUGAUCAGUACUUAUGUAUAAAUUUAUAAAGAAACUUCCUUGAAUU